rnacentral:rRNA from 1 species
GACGAACGCUGGCGGCGUGCUUAACACAUGCAAGUCGAACGGUGAAUCGUCUUACUUUUUGGUGGGUGUGGAUGAGUGGCGAACGGGUUAGUAACACGUGAGUAACCUGCCCCCUUCUUCUGGAUAACCGCAUGAAAGUGUGGCUAAUACGGGAUAUGCUGGGUCUGUCGCGUGAUGGGUCCGGUAAGCACUGUGUUUGGGUGGGGGAUUGGCUGGCGGCCUAUCAGCUUGUUGGUGAGGAGAGGUCCUACGGCGACGGGGCGGGGUAGCCGGCCUGGGAGGGCGGAGGGUCAUGAGGGGGCUACGCCCCCGAAGGGACUGCUAAGGGAGGCAGCAGUGGGGAAUGUUGAACAAGGGGAGAAAGCCUGAUGCAGCGACGCAGCGUGAGGGAUGGAGGCCUUCGGGUUGAGAAACUCUUUCGGAAGUGAAGCAGGCCUGCCUCGUGUGUGGGUGGGUUGACGUUAGCUGGAGAAGAAGCGCCGGCUAACUACGUG